ensembl:lncRNA
AGGCUUCGGUGGGUGACUUACUGGUUCAGGCUUUACAAUACAACUCUUUUUUUCUACACUAAAAAACACGGGAGUGCUGUAAGUAUUCAAGUGUUUGAUUUAAUAUUUAAAUUUGUAUGGUGCUCUUUGGACCUCUGAUGCCAGACUUUGCAUGAAGAUAUUGCAGUAUUUUUCUGCAAUGUUUAAAAUUAAAAAAAAUGGUGGCCCAUCUGUUGAGGACCCCUUGCUUUAGAUUAAAAAUAAAUGUUUAAUGUUAUUUUGCCAAAGGCUCUUGUUGCUAUGAUUAUUAAUCCACUGUUUCUCUUGAACUCCAACAGUUAGAUCUCAGGGGCCAGUAUUACAUAUAUGAGGUUUGUAAUGUUACCCGAGUUUCACUGUGUGGAUGCUGGUAAACUGGUCAUUAGAAGGCCAAAUAAGUGCUUCUCGUGUUAACUACAUGUUCUCUUCACAUGGCUAAACAGGUUCAGUCUGUGCGGGAGGUCAGCAGAUCAGAGAACAAUCGCUAUCUAUUUGAGAUCACAAUGAAAAAUGGGAAGAAGAAAAUGCUGGCUGCAGAAACAGCUGAUGUCAGACAGGAGUGGAUGGACCAGCUGUGGAAAGCCAUGCUGCUCAAUGGCCCAGACGGAUCUGGAUCUCUCACCGAUGGGGAGCUGGUGCCAGAUAACGACCCUGAAAUUCGUUCUAGCCGGUGUGAAGAAUCAAAUAAUGAGACCAGCAGCACUUCAGUGAACAGCAUUGAUCAAGAGUCAUUCAAGUCCUUCGCUGUUGCUGAUGAGACACAAGACAGUUUGCACACAGGCAAUGAAAUGGAGCAAAGUACUGAGGAGUAUUUACUGACGGACUGUGACUACGAUGUUUUACCAUCUCGAAAACUUGCUGAAGAAGCCAUUUAUGACACUCCCCCUUCCAAAUGGUCAACCAAUGUGGGAGAACAUGAAGUGACUGAUAGCAUCUAUGAUUUCCCAAACCCUGUGAUUAGGAAACUGACUGAACAUACAAUUGAAUCUCACAGCAGUAGUGAGAGGCCUGAGAGCGGUGGUCUUCUGAGUGACAUGAUAGCCUGUUUGGACAGUGAAUCUGCUGCCUGGGUCAAACCUGCUUCUCCGUGAACUUUAUGGGUCAAUUUGAACAAGACUGAGAUGAUGAUAAAUGUUUGUUGUUGCAGUAAUCCUUAAUUUUGUUUGUGAUACAUCCGUUUUCCAUCCAAACAGCCAUCACUUAUGUAGACUGUUCGUUGUGGGAUUUCAAACUGUGCUCAAUCAUCUAAGCUAAACAGGGAAGUGUCAGUAACAUGUCUUUUGUCCUGUCACAAUUCAAAAUAAAUUUUAAUCAAACAAAUGAACCUUUGGAUGG